CACAGCAGUCGGAGUGGCGGUGGCUCUUGGGGAUACCCCCCACCGUGCUUCCCAGCCAGGGGCCAGGGCUCUGCAGCAAACGUCUACCAGGCCCCCUCCCGCCCCAGGCGGUGGCUUGCUACUUCCCGAGAGAAGAGGUGGAGUGGAAGCCGGCGCUUGGAGGGCAGAAGCGCAGGGGAGGCGGCGCGAGCAGCGAGCAGGAGGAGGGCUGCAAAGGCCAAGUUUGGAGGAAUCGCAGGCAGGCUCUGCGGAAAGCAGCCGGAUGCUGCUGCUGGCCGGCCGGCAGCCUGAGUUUAUCAUGGGGUUUAAAAACCCACACCGAUCCGAUCCCGGGGGGUCAUCUGCACCCAGCGCACUGGCAGGCUCUGGAGCGCUGGAGCCCUGAAGCCCACCCGCAGCCCCGCAGCCCGCAGCCCCGCAGCUCUGGGCUCCAGCCUGCGGGCACCAGCCGGGAGCCCUUCCCAGGCCUCUACGUGAAACUCUGAGCCACCGCAGGCCACGGCCUCGGCGUCGCCACCCAGAGACAUUGGUGACCCCUUGCAGUCCAGGCCCGCAGCCUGGCCUUGGCUUCCCGUGCCAGAUACGCGGAACCCACAUCCUCAAUCCCGGUCGCAGCGGGGCUCCCUACUUUCAUCGCAGCCUCCAGCCGAUCCUCGCAUCUGCCAGAGCCCCCCAGGCUGCGGGCCGGACGUGGCCUUGGCCACGCGCUCCACGCGCUUUCCACGCGCUCCGGCUGCCCACCCCCCGGUCUUCUGCACUGCGUCGAGGAAAGAAGCCCGGGCUGGCGGUGCCCGCGUUCGCGCCCCCAAGCUCGGCCGCAGCACCGCGCCCGCCCUCGGGUCCCCAGGUCUCCGGUGCUCGGCCUCCUGCCUCCCCGGGACCCUCUGAGGCCGGGGUCCCUCCCCAGGCCAGACCGCGCUGCCUGAAACCCGCCGUCCUUACCUGGGCUUUGUGAAACAUGGAGACCUUGCAGAGGAGGAAUGCUUUCUUUUGAACAAAAACCAAAUUCGAAGACUCAAGUGCACAGCAAAAGCUUUUGAUACUAGGCUACAAAACAAAACCGUUCAAAGCAGGCUUUCUUUUUUAAAAAAAUUAAAAGGAGAAAAACAAGAAAAGAGUAGGAAAUCUCGGCCUGGAGCGUUAACAAAUAUUUUUACCCUCCCGUGAGCAAUAAACCGUUUAUUAAAAAAAAAAAAAAAAGCCUUCCCCAUCUCCCGGGGUCUUUUUGCCAAUUCCUGUAAACUCUCGGCUUCAUUAGCUUACACUUCAGCAGAAUGUCCUCAGAAAUAUUUGGAAACGAAAUGGUCAGUCACCUUCUUAUGAAAAAGCUAAAAAUAUCGAACAAAUGAAUUUGAUUAGGGGUACCCUCUUCCUUUUUCUUAGCCAAAGGACCCAGCAAAGAGGGAGAGAUCAGAAGUUGUCCUGGGUACAAGGAAUCAGUGUGAUGCGAUAUAGGUCAAGGGACAUCAACUGUGCAUGCUGGGGGAAUCUUGUACUCCCUUUCUCAAACUGUCCCUCAAUGGCUAACUUUAUUAUUCUACAUCCAGGUCUAGCUUACAAGCACUUCCCUCCUUGUGAAUAAAGAAUUUGUAUUUUCUGUUAAGACGGAAUGAAAUGUUGAAAUGUUCACUAAAAAAAAAAAAAAAAAGUCGGAGCACAAUUAAAACCUCCAAACACCCUUCUAAACAAGAGAAUCUGGGCUGCAUCCAUUCACUCCAGAGCAGAUUUUAUUAUCAUAAAAAUAAGACAUACUUGCAUAAAAUUGUAAUGCAAUUAACACGGCUUAGGGGGAGAUUUGAUCUAGGUUUAAAUCAACUAACCUGCAGUAAAUUAUUGAACCCUUUCUAAAAAUUCGGUAAAAUGCUACUGUUACAGUACUGAAAGAAUAAAAGACCUGCUUGCAAUGAGGUCGUUGGGGCACUUUACAACAGAGCAAGGAAGGGGGGGGCACUAAUUUCCCUGACCCUCCUAACUUGCACAAAAGUGUUUUUUUUUGUCCUUCUGGAUUCAAGAUAGACGUUAGAGGUCAAGUUGCUCCUAUUUAUAUUAAAGGAAUUCCUGGCAUAUAUGGAUGGGGAAAAAAAGGCAUGCAUUUUAAAGUAACCCAAACUGAUGCAUCCAAAUGUGGGAGCCAGUGCUCUAGUGCUGGAACCACUGAAUUGAGGGGUCCAGGGCCCUAGGUUUUGGGACCAACUCUGGUGAUCCAGGACACCUCGCAGGGGGAGACAGAGAGACACUGGAGAGGGGGCAAGAGUGACAGAAAUGCGUAAAGGAGAGAAGAGACAGUGAGGAAAUGAGUUUACAGGACUUUUGAUGACAGGCAGAGUUGGGACACCUGAAAGUGUGGGAGCACAAUCACUUCCACAGGUGGCAGGUGGUCCCACCACACUUUGGUUUGGUGGUUCUCUAACUUCACACCUUCCUAGGACCUGUCUCCUCCUUCACCUCCCUUCCCAAUCGGAUCUGUUUUUAAACAGGAUUUUAUUAAAUGCAGUUCUGUGUGCGUA